UACGGGGGGGGCAAGCGUUGUUCGGAAUUACUGGGCGUAAAGGGCUCGUAGGCGGCCAACUAAGUCAGACGUGAAAUCCCUCGGCUUAACCGGGGAACUGCGUCUGAUACUGGAUGGCUGGAGUUUGGGAGAGGGAUGCGGAAUUCCAGGUGUAGCGGUGAAAUGCGUAGAUAUCUGGAGGAACACCGGUGGCGAAGGCGGCAUCCUGGACCAAUACUGACGCUGAGGAGCGAAAGCCAGGGGAGCAAACGGU
rnacentral:rRNA from 1 species